CUAAGUUAUUAUCAUCUAAGUACAGCUCCUCGAGUUCCAGGCAUCCUUUAAAAAUUCCCUCUUCAAUACUCAUGAGUCCAUUCCCAUGGAGAUCAAGCAAUCUCAAUUCUUUCAGCUCUCUAAACUCAUUACUAGAAAAUAUCGGAUUCAAAUUAUUUCCCAGGUGAUUCUCGCCAAGCAGCAACUCCUUGAGACCAAUUUGCGCCUUCAAGUGUCGAUCCAUCAAUCGAUGGAUCGAAUUACCGGUGAGAUCCAGGCGCUCGAGUUCCAGACCUGAAUUCAAAAGAUCCUCAGGUAAUUUGUGGUAGCCCACGUUCCUUCGUGUGAUUGAUAUUAUUGGCUGAUCUCGGAGUAGAUCGAGAUUUUCUCGUGUGAAGAUCACUCGAUCGCAGUUCAUCCUGAGGUAGCGGGGACGAUCUGGAGAUGGUGAACAUUUGCAGGGAAGUUGAAUGUCUCGGUGUAGCUCUACACAGGGCCGCCAUUGUGCUUUACUGGUGGUUGUUAUAAUCACUAAGAGUGAGAUGAUGUGGAAGAGUCUGAAAAAUAAAAAAUUGACAUGAAUUGAGCUUCACGAGAUUGUGCAAAUGUAUUUUCAUCAACUUUUUUACUCAGCGGAUAAUCGACAAUUGGAGAAAUGUUAAAAAAAAAAUUUGGGCCAAUGUCAAUAAUUUUUAUUUAUUUAAAGUGAUCAUUUCUAUUUGUAGAAGAAGUAGAAGUUUAUAAUUUCAUGUUUUCAAAACCUGACUCGUGUGAAAUCGAGCUGCCAGCGGCAAACUUUUUCCACCUUCUGUCAAGAAAGGAAAAAAGGAAAGAGGAAGGACAUAAUGGAGAUGGGAAUAGGCCAGCAGGUUCGAUUCUCGAGCGGUGCGUUAAUUUUCUGGCGUUCCGAAUUCGCCGGUGAUAAUCGUAUUUGGUAAAAGGUUUUCCGCUGAGGGGGAGGUUCUUCUCGGGCUCCUGACGAAUGCAGUACAGGGGUUCGAACACCAGAAUAUUUUCGUCAUUCAGAAUGGAUCACGUGAUUAUAGCAGAACAUUAAGAGACCGGAAAAUUUUGACGACCGAAAUACUUUCGUUAACUGGCGAUAAUCUCGUUAAGUACUGGAAAAAAAUUAAUUUUAUGAAUUUUUUCCCAAUGAAAAAUAAACUCUCUCAUUGAAAGUACCAUUGUUCCAGAUACAUUCUUCAAUUUAGUGUUGUCGUUUUCUUCUUGAAAUUACUGAAAAGUUGAAAAGUACAACCUGUAGAGGAAUUACCCGGAGGCUAGAGGCACCUGUAUGGCAUUGAUGUCUCCACAUGAGACGAGAACUUUCUCGUAACUCUUCCAAGGUUUUAAACAUUCCUCAUAAGAUAUGAUGCUCAGAGAAUAAAAGUACCAGAAAAAACUUAAAAUAUGAAGAAAGUAACAUUCAUCGGGUUCAGUUGUAAAUUAUGUGUCCAGCGAGAGGAAUCAUUGUGCAGGAGAAAUUUUAACGCAGAAACAUAAACGAAGACAAAUUAAUUUCACUAUCUAACUCAACAAGUGGAAACGGAAGUGGAAUUGUUUGUUUAUCAUUUCAAACAAGAAGGACUACUGGCGCCGAGAUUGUGCUUCAGCGUGAUCAACGUCAGCCAGGAGCCAAGAAGGUGAAAUAACCUGCGAGUGGAGAGGGGGAGAAGGUGAAAAAGAAGAGAGGAAAACCAGCUCGCAUAGUCGAAAGCAAGUCCACUCCAUGAGGAAGGGCCUUUAGCACAUAACGGCGAAUGCAUUCUGGGAAGUACAUCGACGCGAAUAAGGCCUACCGAGGAUAUACGAAUAAUGGUGCAGGAAAAUAGGUUUUCAAUUUUUCUUUUAUUUUUGAAGAAAUUUUUUUUGGUAAUUUGUAGGAAGUAGUUCUACUCAAUUCAAAGCACAGCGAAGAAAAGUAGUGAGAUUACUUUCAUGAGUAAUAUUCAGAAAAAAAACAUGAGUUCAUUUGCUCCAGUUUCUUUCAUCUCCAGAAAAGGAACGAUCAUGACACCAUACAGUCAAUAGCGAAUUCACUUCAUAGGGAUGAAAAAUCCCUUAAUCCUCGAUUUAUGCCGAGAGAUUCUGGCAAUUACAUCGAGACGUAAAAGGCUCACCUCAAACUAAAUGAACAGGUACUACGUUGUUGUGGAAAAAUGUUUUUUAUUCAACGAUCGGCCUUACUCAUGAUAAUAUUUCAUCUGAAAUAAAAUGUGGGAACGGCAUUUGGAAAUUUUCAUAAUUAAUAGAAUUUGAGAGACACAUAUACAUGAAACUAAUAGUCAUAUCCGUAUCUGUGUACAUUCAUUCAUAACGAUCGUAGUGAAUAGCUCGCAGAGCCACGUUCGUAGCAGUGAAAGAGAUCGUUUAACUCAAACCAAUUAUGUUUUGAUAUUUCUGUCGUAAAUUAAAAAUUCUAUAUGAUCUUUACUAUCAUUUAACUAGCGUACAAAAUUAUGAUUAAAUCUAGAAUUAAUUAACUAGACAAUGUUUGGACGGAAUUUGUAGUAACAAAAUUAUAAAAACCGUUAACAGUCAAUAGACUGUUUCAUAUUUCUAUCUAUAGUAUAAAAUAUUUCUCGAGUCGUUGAUGCACAAUGUGCAAUGAGAAUACAAAAAUGGAUAUUAAAUCUCAUGAGAUUCAUAUAAAUAAUUUUUUCAUUUGUCGAUUCUGGGUAUAACGUACGGUAGGAGAUAUAUUCUUUAUCCUCGGAAGGCUGAGACACAAACAAACAUGUGUUUUUAUCUUCAAUUAUAUAUACGUUGCGCUUGUGCCAGGACUGUCAGAUGGACCUAAUUGAUUUUUUGGGCCAUACUCUCCAAUAAAUGAUCCAUCUUCUGUGAAACGACC